rnacentral:lncRNA from 1 species
GGCAGAAGAGGUCAUGGCACUGCUCUGCUAAAGAGUGAAAUAUGAACCUGGAUAAGCAGGGAGUGGGUCUGGAGCCAGGCGUGUUUCUCCCUCAGUGUGAGGAGCAUGACAGCUCUGUUUGCUCCUCUAACUCUAGGGCUCCAAGAAGCAGAGGUGCCUGAGCUCUGCCCCGCCAUGGAGAGGGGGCAGCCGCUACCUACCAUUCCCAGGCAGCCCUCGCAGCUUUAGAGCUGGGUGUCUUCUCUUUCUCUUACCUCUUCAGCCAAGGACCUGGACUAGUACUAUUGCUCUGCUCUACCACCACAGACCAGCGCAUCUUCUCAUCUGCUUUCAAGCAGUUGUCCAGGUCUUCAGUAGCCUGGCAUCCUGGUACCCUCACAGUGAAGGAUGUGCCUCCAUCUUCAGUGAAGGACAUGCCUCCACACUCUCACCUAAGGCAUAUGCCAGGUCACCUCAGGGUGGCACCCAGCAUGGGGACCAGGGCACCUCUGCAGGACCAGACACAGAGCUGCAACAUUACAGGUCAGGGUUACAGACCCUGUCGUCCCCCUAUAUCACGACACCUCCCUCCAGACCCGAUGCUCCACACAAGGAGCCUUUCCCACCAACAGCUCCCAAGGAGUGUCCAGACACAGAAACUGGGAGGGGGAUAAAACAUGCUGGUGGUUUUCAUUAUCUUAAGAAGCUGAUAUAACAUCAGUAUUGGUUACCUACAAACAACUAAUGGAUGAGUCAGUUCCUCAGGUAAUUACAUCCCAGUAUGGUUAUUGCUGUCUCUUUCCCAGGGACCAUCCAGCCUGUCUCUGCAUUUGCUCACCAGACUCAACUACUCCUCCAUAUAUCCUAACACAAGUAUUUCAGCAGUACUGAUGUCCUCUCUUCAUCUUGCCUCCCCAUCCAGCAACUGCUUUCAUAGUUUCCCUCUUCCUGAACUAGGCCAGGUUGGGGGUGGUUUGGCCGUGAUCUUCAGGGGCUGAAAGUUGCUGUUUGCAGAGUGGUAUUUCCAGACUUCCAGUCCCCCUCGUUUCUCCCGUUCAUGGUGAGGGAAGAGGUUCAGCUCAGCUCCUCUGGAUUUGCAAUGAAUUAUCUCAACGCUUGCAACAGUUGUGCAGCAGCAGGAAGAGCUGCCCAGGGAAGAUAGUGCUUUGGACACAUGCUGAUGUGGAUGUUACAUGCUGCGAUGGUUUUCCCUACCUCCUGCUUUCUAUUAUUUAGAAAACCUUCCCCAAU